rnacentral:rRNA from 1 species
CCCUUAGAUGUCCUGGGCCGCACGCGCGCUACACUGAUGCAUUCAACGAGUUCUACCUUGGCCGAGAGGCCUGGGCAAUCUUUUGAACCUGCAUCGUGAUAGGGAUAGAUUAUUGCAAUUAUUAAUCUUGAACGAGGAAUUCCUAGUAAACGCAGAUCAUCAAUCUGCAUUGAUUACGUCCCUGCCCUUUGUACACACCGCCCGUCGCACCAACCGAUUGAAUGGUCCGGUGAAGCCUCGGGAUUGUGGCGAGUUCCCUUUAUUGGGAGUUUGUCGCGAGAACUUGUCUAAACCUUAUCAUUUAGAGGAAGGUGAAGUCGUAACA